GACGAACGCUGGCGGCGUGCUUAACACAUGCAAGUCGAACGGAAAGGCCCUGCUUGCAGGGUGCUCGAGUGGCGAACGGGUGAGUAACACGUGGGUGAUCUGCCCCUUACUUUGGGAUAAGCCUGGGAAACUGGGUCUAAUACUGGAUAGGACCAUGCUGUAGGUGGUGUGGUGGAAAGAUUAGUUUCGGUAAGGGAUGAGCUCGCGGCCUAUCAGCUUGUUGGGGGGGUAAUGGCCUACCAAGGCGUCGACGGGUAGCCGGCCUGAGAGGGUGGACGGCCAAAUUGGGGCUGGGAAUCGGCCCAGGACCCUACGGGGGGGAGGGGGGGGGAAAAUUGAAAAAAGGGCCGAACGCAGGAGGAGCGACGGCGGGGGGGGGGUGACGGUCUUGGGGUUUAAAACCCUUUUACGCCGGGGAGAAACCCUUGGGGAGGGGGUUGGGGAAGAAAACGCCCGGGCAAACUGCG
rnacentral:rRNA from 1 species